rnacentral:rRNA from 1 species
GUGCCUAACGCAUGCAAGUCGAGCGAGGAGAUUCCUUCGGGAUGAUCCUAGCGGCGGACGGGUGAGUAACACGUGGGCAACCUGCCUCAUAGAGAGGAAUAGCCUUCCGAAAGGGAGAUUAAUACCUCAUAACAUUGCAGUUUCGCAUGGAACAGCAAUUAAAGGAGUAAUCCGCUAUGAGAUGGGCCCGCGGCGCAUUAGCUAGUUGGUGAGGUAACGGCUCACCAAGGCGACGAUGCGUAGCCGACCUGAGAGGGUGAUCGGCCACAUUGGGACUGAGACACGGCCCAGACUCCUACGGGAGGCAGCAGUGGGGAAUAUUGCACAAUGGGGGAAACCCUGAUGCAGCAACGCCGCGUGAGUGAUGACGGCCUUCGGGUUGUAAAGCUCUGUCUUCAGGGACGAUAAUGACGGUACCUGAGGAGGAAGCCACGGCUAACUACGUGCCAGCAGCUGC